rnacentral:rRNA from 1 species
UGAAUUCAUAGGUGAGUGAGAGGCAGACCAGGGGAACUGAAACAUCUAAGUACCCUGAGGAAGAGAAAACAAUAGUGAUUCCGUCAGUAGCGGCGAGCGAACGCGGAUUAGCCCAAACCAAGGAGCUUGCUCCUUGGGGUUGUGGGACGUCUCACAUGGAGUUACAAAGGAACCGGUUAGAUGAAGAGGUCUGGAAAGGCCCGCCAGAGAAGGUAAAAGCCCUGUAGUUCAAAAC